rnacentral:rRNA from 1 species
CGGGGGGGGGGGCAAGCGUUGUUCGGAAUUACUGGGCGUAAAGGGCGCGCAGGCGGCCUGGCAAGUCCUACGUGAAAUCCCACAGCUCAACUGUGGAACUGCGUGGGAUACUGCCCAGGCUUGAGUCCGGGAGAGGAGAGUGGAAUUCCCAGUGUAGCGGUGAAAUGCGUAGAUAUUGGGAGGAACACCGGUGGCGAAGGCGGCUCUCUGGACCGGUACUGCCGCUGAGGCGCGAAAGCUAGGGGAGCAAACGGGAUUAGAUACCCCGGUAGUCCUAGCCGUAAACUUUGAGCACUUGGUGUGGCGGGUAUCGACCCCUGCCGUGCCGAAGCUAACGCAUUAAGUGCUCCGCCUGGGGAGUACGGUCGCAAGGCUG